GAAAGAAAGAAGGAAAGAAAGAAAGAAAGAAAGAAAGAGAAUUCAAAACAGGUUUUGGAAGCCGCUUCUUCUUCUUCUUUCAGACUUCCUUU
rnacentral:ribozyme from 1 species